UACGAACACCGCUUACUACGAUG
rnacentral:siRNA from 1 species